rnacentral:rRNA from 1 species
UACGUAGGGUGCAAGCGUUAAUCGGAAUUACUGGGCGUAAAGCGUGCGCAGGCGGUGAUGUAAGACAGUUGUGAAAUCCCCGGGCUCAACCUGGGAACUGCAUCUGUGACUGCAUCGCUGGAGUGCGGCAGAGGGGGAUGGAAUUCCGCGUGUAGCAGUGAAAUGCGUAGAUAUGCGGAGGAACACCGAUGGCGAAGGCGAGUCCCUGGACGAUACCUGACACUGAGGCACGAAAGCCAAGGGAGCAAACAGG